rnacentral:rRNA from 1 species
GACGAACGCUGGCGGCGUGCCUAAUACAUGCAAGUCGAACGCAGUGGGGACGGGUGAGUAACACGUGGGUAACCUCCCAUCAGAGGGGAUAACACUUGGAAACAGGUGCUAAACCGAUACUGAUGGAUGGACCCGCGGUGCAUUAGCUAGUUGGUGAGGUAACGGCUCACCAAGGCCACGAUGCAUAGCCGACCUUGGGGGGUUAUCGGCCACCCUGGGACCUAGACCCGGGCCAGACUCCCACCGGGGGCCGCAGGAGGGAAUCUUCGGCAAUUGACCAAAGUCUUAACGAGCCACGCCCCGUUGGUGAAAGAGGUUUUCGGAUCGUAAAACUCUGUUGUUAGAGAAGCGGUAUCUAACCAGAAAGCCACGGCUAACUACGUGCCAGCAGCCGCGGUAAUAC